GACAGAGCGUGCAAACGUUGCUCGGAAUCACUGGGCGUAAAGGGCGCGUAGGCGGGGAUGUAAGUCGGGCGUGAAAUCCCCAGGCUCAACCUGGGAACUGCACUCGAAACUGCGUUUCUUGAGUAUCGGAGAGGAAAGCGGAAUUCCUGGUGUAGAGGUGAAAUUCGUAGAUAUCAGGAGGAACACCAGUGGCGAAGGCGGCUUUCUGGACGGUAACUGACGCUGAGACGCGAAAGCGUGGGGAGCGAACAGG
rnacentral:rRNA from 1 species